CCCUUAGAUGUUCUGGGCUGCACGCGUGUUACAAUCGGGAGUACAACAAGAUUGCAAAUCCUAGUGGAUGAGUGGUUUUUCGAAAUUUUCUGAAGACUGGGAUAGUUGAUUGAAAUUAUUCAACUCGAACGAGGAAUUCCUUGUAAUUGUAAUUCAUUAUAUUGUAAUGAAUACGUCCCUGCCCUUUGUACACACCGCCCGUCGCUCCUACCGAUUGAACGAUCCGGUGAAUUAUUUGGAGUAGCUCUGGAAGUUGCAGAACUUCCUAUGUCACGAAAUUUUGUAAACCUUAUCGUUUAGAGGAAGGAAAAGUCGUAACA
rnacentral:rRNA from 1 species